rnacentral:rRNA from 1 species
GAGUUUGAUCCUGGCUCAGAUUGAACGCUGGCGGCAGGCCUAACACAUGCAAGUCGAGCGGAUGACGGGAGCUUGCUCCUUGAUUCAGCGGCGGACGGGUGAGUAAUGCCUGGGAAUCUGCCUGGUAGUGGGGGACAACGUUUCGAAAGGAACGCUAAUACCGCAUACGUCCUACGGGAGAAAGCAGGGGACCUUCGGGCCUUGCGCUAUCAGAUGAGCCUAGGUCGGAUUAGCUAGUUGGUGGGGUAAUGGCUCACCAAGGCGACGAUCCGUAACUGGUCUGAGAGGAUGAUCAGUCACACUGGAACUGAGACACGGUCCAGACUCCUACGGGAGGCAGCAGUGGGGAAUAUUGGACAAUGGGCGAAAGCCUGAUCCAGCCAUGCCGCGUGUGUGAAGAAGGUCUUCGGAUUGUAAAGCACUUUAAGUUGGGAGGAAGGCAGUAAGUUAAUACCUUGCUGUUUGACGUUACCGACAGAGUAAGCACCGGCUAACUCUGU